GGGCCUAUAUAUCGGUACUUUCUACUGAACAAAAUGAAAGGAAAACAUCAAAAGAAGAGAAAAAGGUGCAUGGAUUGGAGAUAUCAGUCUUUAUCUGUUCUGGAGAGUUAUCGAGUUAAUAAUGAGUUUUUGCAAUUAAAGGCAUGCCGCAAAACCCAUAAAGCAAGGACGCUCGAACACGCACGAUGGACUUAGAAAUUAGCAUUUCCCAGGUAACGGACGUCCUUACAGAAUUUCAAGAUCAGCAUGCACAACCUAUAGAAAUGAAGAAAAAAUCAAGAUUCCAGACGCUGUAACUUACAGACAUCUAGAGACCAUUUUAAUGAAGGCAGGAAGCCUGUUGUCAAUCGCAGUCCAACUAAGAGCUCCAUUUACAGUCCUAACCAAGAUUGAGGUGUAGAGAGACGCAGUUCUUCCCAACACAUCGAGUAUAUUCCAACAUAUCAGAUGAUAAAAAAUGUUAGGGGCUCUAUCUCCGGAAUUCGCACAAAAGAUGUAAUCAUGCAUUGUGGCACUUAAGGUGCAAAGCCAGUAAGAAAGUUGGUCCAUUCAGUCCCGAAUUCUCACAAAACUUAAGAGGUAACAGGUAGGUUUAGGUCAUUAUAGGAUUACUACGCCUAUUCCUCAAUCUUGGAAACUUGUCAUGAUCAUAUGACUAGAGAGAUUCAUGCUCAUAAUGUUUGCUUAUGCAAACACUGUCAUGUUACAAACAGGUUACUAAUCAUAUCAACCACUAUACGCUUCACAAUUGAACUAGUUGGUAUCUAACUGGCUAUGUUUCCAAUUGGGGCGAAUCCACAGCUGAGCCAUUUUAUGUGAUAUAAAUCUAUGGGGAACUUUUUCAUGUAUUAAGGAUCAAUAUCUCUGGUUUUUUAUUGAAAAAUUAUGGUUUGGUAAGGCAC